AAAACAAGACCCACAAAAUGGAGGAAAACACACAGACAGACCUAAAAAGGAGCCUAAUGGCUUUGAACUGGUUCGAGCACGUUCAAUUAGGCUUCAGCCAAACUGGGGCUCGAUCGGUUCAAACUCAGACUGGCAUUGCAAAACCAAUGCCUGGUUUGGUCUGAGUUCAAACCGUUGAACCAAACCAGUUCGAUCUCAAACCGGUCCAAACUCGGACCAGUUUGCACAUCCCUACUCCUGUUUCCUUAGGGAUGGUUGUGUGCAUGUACACACACAUGUACAGGAGGAAACAGAAGAAGGCGGGAAGGAAGAGUAAGCAGUAGAGUCACAGGACCAUGGAAUACAACAGCAUGUGUUGGAAUUGCUUGCCACUCACUGGUGAUGGAAGAGAAACAUAUUUUCAAACUCAGAUGUAAACUGGAAUUGCACACAGACAAAUGAAGACACAAGGCAUAAUUAGAAGUAAAAGGCCACAACUUUCCAAUAACUAACAACAAGGGAUUGGCUCUCCACCUUCUAAAGUGUGGAAACUAGAGACUCGCAACCCAACUUUAAUUCAACAGCUGCCUUAUGAAAAGGAAGUACCCCAAUAUAUUGUUCCAUCUCAUCCCAUCAAGAAAAGACCCUGGCUGUACCAGCAAAUACAGAUCCUAGGAUUCCCAGAACGUGCUUCUCCCUCCUAUUUUCAUUCCAGCAGAGCUCUGAGUUAGAAUGAAAAACAUCAUUGAAGCUCUCCAGAUCUCUUUAAUUAGGUUUCUGAGGGAAUGUUUUGUUACUUGCCUUUCACUUGAAAGGCAGGUAUAGGCUUUGUAACUUCUGAGAGCUGAAGCUUGCUGGAUUGUGAAGGAAUGGACAUGUGAAGAUGAAAUUAUAGUUUUAUGUCACAGCAUGUGUCAUCCUCUUUCAUAUUCUGCUUGAGUUUUAUAAUGUUAAACAUUCAUAUAUGAAGCUCCCUUAUACUGAUUCAGAACUUUGGUUGAGGGGCAUAAAUGGCAAAUUUCCCGGUGGGGGCAGUUCUUGCCAGGGCCGCCAAGUGCUGCUAAGACCACUGGUGAAAGUUACACUGCCAGCUCCAUUGGACUUACUGCAGAAAACAUGCCCUCAAAGAUCAGUGUUCCUGGUGUGAAAAGAAAGCCACCUGGCCAUCAGUACAAGGACACUUGGAAGAGAACCUAUGAGUUCUCUUGUGAAGUGGGCUCUCUUAUGAAAUGGGCAAAGUAUAUUGCAGCAUCUGUUGUACAGCCAAUGCUUCUCUUCCAAAAUGUUCAAGAGACUGGGAUGUAUAUGAAGCUUUUGUUAAGAUUGGCUUCUCAAACUGGAAGAAAGCAUUAGAAAGAUUUAAGAGCCAUCCAAAUUCAAACAUUCAUUGUGCAGCUGUUCAGGCUAUUGCUGCUGCUAAAGGUGGGGUAAAUGUCACUAGCUCAGAAAGGAAACAGAAGCAAAUGCAAGAAACUGGUGGUACUUCUGAAAAUUUUAUCCUCUGCUAGGUACCUUGCCGGUCAGAUUCUGACAGUUCAUGGUAAUCUUGAGGAAGGGUCGAAGCUUAGUCAGCUCUUGCUGCUUCAUGCUGAUGGUGUUCUGCAGCUGAGAUCAGGUUGAAUCAUACAAAUUCACCUUCUGUUGUGAAUGAGAUGUUUAAAACCUUGGCUCACAAUGCUUUAUGUACAUUAGUGAGAGAAACCGAAGAAGCUGUUUUCUACAGUGAAAUUGUAGAUGCCUACAGAUAGUACCACAAAGGCGCAGGUUUCAUUUUGCUUUUGCAUUGCCACAGAAGAUAUGCCUGCGGAAGAAUUGUUUUUCAGCUUUUCUGAAACCGAUGUCAUAACGUCUAAAACCCUUCUGUUUUUUGAAAGCCAUACUUUGCCGCUUUAAUUGUUCUCUUGAUAGGUGCCGUGGCUAGUGGUGUGCAUAGAACUGGUGCCUGCUGGUUCCAAAGCGGGUGGGGGAUAAAUUUAAGGACUGGGGAGGGUGCACGUAUCCCCACCACUGCAUUUCCCCCACUGGCACUCCCUUUAAAAAUUGGCCAGUGGGGCGGCAGCAUACCUGUCUGCUGCCCCGCUGCCUCCUCAGACUAGAAGUGACUGGAAGUACCCAGCAUGCAUGCUCACGUUGGGUGCGCGAGCAAGCAUGACUCACAAGUGCACAUGCCCAACGUGCAUACACACACUGAGUACUUCCGGUCACUUCUAGUCUGAGGAGGGAACGGAGUGGCAGGUAGGUAUGCUGCCGCCCUGCCGGACUGUUUUAAAAGAGAGUGCUGGUGGGGAAAAUGCAGCAGAGGGGGUAAGUGCAUCCUCCCCACUCCUUAAAGUUAUCUUUUGAACCACCGAUCUUUUGAACCUGUUUGGAGGCCUGUAAAAGGGCUUACGAACAGGUUUGUGCACAUCCCUAGCCGUGAGCAAUGCUGUGAUGGAGCUCCGAAUGCAGCUGGACUCAUUAGUAGACUGUAGGCUCUAGUGAAGCAAGAGGAACCAAGAGCCCUUUAUGUGUACUGAGUAGCCCAUGCUGUGAACUUAGUGAUGCAAGCUGUAUUGUUAUUUAUUUAUUUAUUUAUUAUUAUUAUUAUUUACAUUUAUAAACCGCCCCAUCCAGAGGCUCAGGAAAUGUAUCAGGAAAUGUGAAUAUUUGUAUAAAGUUUUUGAGUGAAAUAGCUGA